UUAAUCUCUCUCUUUUUGUGCCAGAGUUUUUAAACAUUUUCGUUUUCCCUAGUUUAUGAAACUUUAUGAAGCUUUACCCUUGUCCUUGGUUUGAGAGCUGUACACGUGGGGACGUCGAGACAUCCACCGUAUACGUGUUUCGAUUUCAAUACUCCACUGUUUAUAUUAUCCCACCGCUAUUCCCUAAUUCUUCCUAUUCAGAUGAACCGACAAAACCCUCACCCAUUUACUAUCGGCGUCAUCAUAUUCUCUAACAUAUACCAUCUUCACCUAUUGCAAUCACAUAUCAUGCACCAUCAGCUUCUCGAUUUUCUCAUCGACGUUGAAAACACUCAAAUUGAUGGUUUACUGGGUGUAUGCAUCUUCACUUUUUUGAUUAGGGAUUUCGGCCUGAAAUUUAUGUCGUGUGCUCUCCACCUUCUCCACCAUCAUAUAUGCAACCGGAAAGAGAAGCAGUAUCUUCAUGCGCACAUCGGACCCGAUGAACCUCUUCCACCUGCAUCGUUGCCCCAUGUUCUACGUUCAAGUCGGCCCAAGCAAUUCGUCGAACAGAUUGUGAGCAAAGACUUACAAACUAAAGUUUGGACAGAAUAAUUCAGCUAGAGGACACUAGCACUACCAUUAUUUGAGCUUUCACUUCUUUUGCAAUCAAUGGAGAGUGCACUGGACGAAACCUGUUGCAAAUUCCUGAAAUAUAUAGGUUAGAAUUUUAAAAUAUUUAUCAUAUUUUUCCAUUCUCUUCCAUAAAUAGUUUCUCCAAACCAAGAAAAUACUCCAAGAAGAACCUUUUGAAGGUAUAUAGACGUUUAUACUUUUCUAUUUUGCAAAGA